UCCCUAGUGGUCUAGUGGUUAGGAUUUAGUGCUGUCACCACUAAGGCCUGAGUUCAAUUCUCAGUCAGGGAA